UAAAAACUUGAAAACUAUUCUGAGUGUCCGACGCCAAACUCAUUCACAAAUCACAUAAAUUUUACAAGCAGAGACUUCAAGAAAAACGAGAGAAGAAGAAGAUCAGGAAUAGUUAUAUAAAAAUUAGGGUCAGGGUCAUGGUCAUUAUUGUUAAUUAAUGCAAUUUAUUUAUUGUACAAAAGCAAGCAAUAGAAAAGAAACAAAGAAAGAGGAAAAAAAGGCAGGAGGUAUCCUUUUUGUUGUAGUUGAAUGGCACAUUGAAACAAGUCCACAUGCAUUCCUUGCGCGCGUAUAUAAUAUAGAUGCCAACACAUUAGGCAUCGAGCCAGAGCAAGCAUUUAUUAGGUAUAUUUCGGCACCCUUUCUUCUGUAUACAUAUUUACAAACGACAAACCAUUGCCUUUGCCUUUGCCUUUCAAUAUAUACAUUACAACCAUCCAUGGAGUGGAGGAAAUGUUAUAUGGAUGUGGUACUGGUGCCGCUUGGAUUUAUGAUAACAAUGGCCUAUCAUGCUUGGUUAUGGCAUAAGGUUCGCACCCAACCCCUCUCCACCAUCAUUGGUACUAACGCCACCGGCAGGCGUUUCUGGGUUUCUGCCAUGAUGAAGGACAAUGACAAGAAGAACAUCUUGGCCGUCCAAACACUUAGAAACCUAAUCAUGGGAUCAACCCUAAUGGCCACUACAUCAAUCCUUCUCUCCGCUGGGCUGGCAGCCAUAAUAAGUAGCACAUAUAGCGUGAAGAAGCCGCUAAACGAUGCCGUAUACGGGGCGCACGGUGAAUUCAUGGUGGCACUAAAAUAUGUAACGCUCUUGAGCAUAUUCCUCUUCUCAUUUUUUUGCCAUUCGCUUUCCAUAAGGUUUGUGAAUCAGGUAAACUUGCUCAUCAACACACCCCCUGAUCCAAUGUCUAUUGUGACUCCUGAUUAUGUUAGCGAGCUGUUAGAGAAGGGUUUUAUUCUAAACACAGUAGGGAACAGGCUCUUCUACGCAGCAAUGCCUCUUCUGCUUUGGAUAUUUGGACCGGUGCUAGUCUUCCUGUGCUGCGUUACAAUGGUGCCUGUGCUUUACAACCUAGACUUCGUAUUUGCCAAUGGCACUGCGAAGGGAAAGGUCGGCGUCAAUGGAGAAAGGGAAUUUGUCUAAAUUAUUAUGAUUUUUCUUCUUUUGUUUUUUUUUUUUUUUUUUAUGAUCGAUAGAUGUAAUGUAUUUUAAUUACGUGUACGUCAUUGUAUUUACAUAUAUAUAUAUAUAUAUCUGUACAUAUUAAAAUGAGAAAGCGACUAUUAUUAUUAUGUUUAAGCAUUGAGUAAUGAAGAUCGACAAACAUGCUGAGGUCUGUGCCUCCAAAUUCCAAUAAUGUUUGGUAGCAUUUGUCUACAUUAUUGGCUUGUUUACUUAAUCUUUAUUUCAUAUUCAGCGUCUAAUGAAUUACUUUUACCUCUAAAAUAUGUAAUUAUUAAAAUCUUUUUUAGUAUUAUGUAAUAUAAUAUUACUAGCUU